rnacentral:rRNA from 1 species
GACGAACGCUGGCGGCGUGCUUAACACAUGCAAGUCGAGCGGAAAGGCCCUUCGGGGUACUCGAGCGGCGAACGGGUGAGUAACACGUGAGUAAUCUGCCCUGCGCUUUGGGAUAGCCAGCCGAAAGGCUGAUUAAUACCGGAUAUGACUCUUACUGGCAUCGGUGGGGGUGGAAAGUUUUUCGGCGCAGGAUGUGCUCGCGGCCUAUCAGCUUGUUGGUGGGGUAAUGGCCUACCAAGGCUUCGACGGGUAGCCGGCCUGAGAGGGUGACCGGCCACACUGGGACUGAGACACGGCCCAGACUCCUACGGGAGGCAGCAGUGGGGAAUAUUGGACAAUGGGCGGAAGCCUGAUCCAGCAACGCCGCGUGAGGGAUGACGGCCUUCGGGUUGUAAACCUCUUUCAGCACAGACGAAGCGCAAGUGACGGUAUGUGCAGAAGAAGGACCGGCCAACUACGUGCCAGCAGCCGCAGUAACAC